ACUAAGUUUAUGCAUUAAAUAGUUUUUUUUUAUUAAAGAGAUCUGGGAGAGAGAAAACAGACAAAACCCACUCGGCUAAGCAAGUGGUACAAAUCAAAAGUCACAUCAACGCUAGCUGUUAUGAAACAAAUCAAAAGUAAAUAAGAAAAAAAAUGAAUCAAAAUGUUCUCACUUCCAAGCCAAACAAACGAAAGUUGAUAGAGAGAUUCAGAUGCUGCAAAUCCAAGAACAUGAGACCAAGACUAGUUGGUGGUUUGAAGGCGGGUCUACAAACCUCUUAUCUGCGUUCAUUUGGGGCAGCGUCUUCAACCAAAUUUCAUCUUCUUAAGAACAGAGAGGGAGUCCCCUUCAAGGUCAAUCGAGUAAAAACCAAAAUCCAGAAACAAUUUCAAAGCUUGCAUGCAAGUGAGGGCUUCCGCCGCGAAAGGGGCAGUUUCGAAGUGGUGACUGCAACCUUGGACCUUGAUAACUCUCUAAGCUCUUAACAAAUGCGCCUGAAUAGAGGUUUUUAUAGUUUAUGACUAGAAGAAACCCGUCAGGACUAUUACUUUCUGACAAAGAAAUCUUUCGUACAGUUCGUAGAAACCAAAGAGAAAUAAGUCGCAGCUUAAGAUAUAUAGGGAACGAGUAAUAAGGCGAUACUCAACCUCCAACCGACGAGAUGGCUGAAAACCAAGGCAAUCAGCUACCUCCUGCAAUUGCGGCUAAUCAAAAUCCUGCUCCACGUACUAUGAAUGAUUAUGCUAAACCUUCUUUAACAGGAACUGAAUCUAGCAUAGUUAGACCUUCUGUAGCUGCAAAUACUUUUGAAUUAAAACUUAACACCAUUCAGAUGAUACAGCAGUUUGUUCAGUUUGAUGGUUUGCAAGAUGAAGAUCCCAAUGCUCACUUAGCAAAUUUUUUGAAAUUUUGCAAUACAUUUAAAAUCAAUGGUGCUUCUAAUGAUGCCAUUCAUCUUCGGUUAUUUCCUUUUUCAUUGAGGAACAAAGCUAAACAGUGGUUGAACUCGUUACCAUGAGGGUCAAUUACUACUUGGGAACAAAUGAUCGAGAAAUUUUUACUAAAAUAUUUUUCGUAGGCUAAAACGGUUAAAUUACGUAAUGAUAUCUCUUCUUUUGUGCAGAUGGAUUUAGAAACACUUUACGAUGCAUGGGAGAGAUACAAGGACUUACUGAGAAGGUGUCCUCACCAUGGGUUACCACUUUGGCUGCAAGUACAAACAUUCCACAAUAGUUUGAAUCCUUCGACUCGGCAAAUGGUUGACGCAACUAUUGGCGGAACCAUCAACAAUAAAACAUCGGAAGAUGCCUAUGAGUUUAUAGAGGAGAUGUCACUGAAUAACUAUCAGUGGCAAGUUAUGAAAACAAAGCCAACGAAAACAGCCGGCGUUUAUAACGUCGAUUCAGUCACCAUACUCUUUAAUCAGGUAGAACUUCUCAAUAAAAAGAUUGAUGGUUUACUUGGUUCUAUGCAGGUACAUCCAGUAAUGAGGUGUGACUCAAUUGGAGGAGGUGUGCAUACAGAAUAUCAGUCCUUCAAUCCCACAACCGAAGAGGAACAAGUCAACUAUAUAGGUAACAAUAACUUUAGAUCUCAAAAAUAACCUAUACAGUAAUAUUUAUAAUGCAGGUUGGAGGAACCACUCAAAUUUCUCCUAGGGUGGUCAAGGAAAUCAAAAGCCACAAAAUCCUCAGGGUUUUCAACUGUCACCUUUUCAACAAGAGAAGAAAUCGAACCUUGAGGAGAUGCUCUAAAAAUUCAUAUCAAUGUCAGAAAUCCGUUUCCAAAAUACCGAGACAGCACUUAAGAAUCAACAAGCAUCGAUCCAAUGGCUUGAAACUCAGAUAGGCCAGCUAUCCAAACUAAUCUCCGAACGACCACAAUGUAGCUUGCCAAGUAACACUAAACCCAACCUAAGGGAAUAGCUCAACGCAAUUAAUAUCCAAAAUAACGAAGGAGUCGUUGAGCCUGAACCAGAACCAAGGCAAGAAACAGUGGUAAGCAAAGGGAGAGAUGAGGUAGAUCAAAAUACAAACAAACCAGUGACUGUCGAAUAUAAACCUCGUGUGCCAUACCCUAACGCGGCAAGAAAAGACCGCUUAGACGAAUAAUUCGGAGAGCACCAAGAGUCAAAAGGAGCCAAAAAUGGACAAAACAGACCAAAUUGAGAAGAUGACACGGCCUAAGGCUUACCACACGGGCUGCUCACACGCCUAUGUCUUUCGAGGGUGUCGACCAAGGCUUUCACGAUUCACACGGCCUGGCCAUUGACCCGCACGGCCGUGUGCAAUUUAACGGAUCGAACACGGCCUGGCAAACACGUCACACGGUCGUAGCACACGGGCGUGUCCUUUUUUCAAGGAGUUGUUUUUUAUACGGAAAAGGAUACUUAGGGAGGAAGAAAGCCAAUUCAAAGCCUAUAUAAACACCUAAGUAUGACUUAGAAAGACCCCUCUCCUCUAGAACUUUUCUGGAGUACAGAACCACACGCCGGGAAUUACUUGAAGGAAGCCAGACAAUCCAUCCCAAAAGUCGGAGCUACUCCAAGACUGAAGAUCUCUCUCAGAAUUCUUUCAGGGGUUUUAGAGUUUUCUUUAUGUUUUUUUAUUUUCGUACUUUUGAGAUGUACUCUUAUUUUAUUAUGAACUAAGCCCCUUAGUACCUAAGGGGGUUGAAACCUAUGAUGGAUCUUGUUAUUAUUAUCUGAACUGUAUGAUAAAUACUUGAUUUGUUCUUAA